rnacentral:rRNA from 1 species
UACGUAGGGGGGCAAGCGUUGUCCGGAAUCAUUGGGCGUAAAGAGCGUGUAGGCGGCCCGGUAAGUCCGCUGUGAAAGUCCAGGGCUCAACCCUGGGGAUGCCGGUGGAUACUGUCGGGUUCGAGUCCGGAAGAGGAGUGUGGAAUUCCUGGUGUAGCGGUGAAAUGGCGCAGAUAUCAGGAGGAACACCAAUGGGCGAAGGCAGCACUCUGGGACGGUACUGACGCUGAGACGCGAAAGCGUGGGGAGCAAACAGG